rnacentral:misc_RNA from 1 species
CACGAACUGCGCGAACGUUAUUCGGAAUCACUGGGCUUAAAGAGUCCGUAGGCGGCUCGGUAGGUGGGGUGUGAAAGCCCACGGCUCAACCGUGGAAUAGCGCUCCAAACCAUCGAGCUUGAGGGAGAUAGAGGAGAGCGGAACUGAUGGUGGAGCGGUGAAAUGCGUUGAUAUCAUCAGGAACAUCAGUGGCGAAAGCGGCUCACUGGGUCUCUUCUGACGCUGAGGUACGAAAGCUAGGGGAGCAAACAGG